UACGUAGGGUGCGAGCGUUAAUCGGAAUUACUGGGCGUAAAGCGUGCGCAGGCGGUUUUGUAAGCCAGAUGUGAAAUCCCCGGGCUUAACCUGGGAAUGGCAUUUGGGACUGCAAGGCUUGAGUGCGGCAGAGGAGACUGGAAUUUACGGUGUAGCAGUGAAAUGCGUAGAUAUCGUAAGGAAGACCAGCGGCGAAGGCGAGUUCCUGGACAGUUACUGACGCUGAGGCACGAAGGCCAGGGGAGCAAACGGG
rnacentral:rRNA from 1 species